GUUACUCGCGGCGUCAGUAAGUCCCGACCCGCGGUCUUGGUCGGUCGCACUGGACGUGGCUCCGGUUUAACACCAGGCGCACGAGGCAUGAGUAGACAUGAGUGUCAUUCAUGGAUGAAUACUCUGAUGAACAAUAUCUUGAAAAUGAUUCAGUGAGUGUUUUCUUCACUAGUAAAAAGAAACGUUCAUACUCAAUAAAAUUGCUUAUGUUAAACAAGAACAUGUGCAUUAAAAUAUAAACAGAAAAUAUAUAUAUAUAAGUAUUUAUAAAUAUAUGUAAAUCUAUAUAUAUACACAUAUUGGAGAAAGUGAGUGCAUCCCAGAACAAAAUAGAAAAAUGUCUAUCUUAGGUAUUCCGUGUUGUGUACCAAGCUGAGAACGGCAGCGCUGACGUCACGUGGAUACGUUCUUUGAAUGAAUCGCAAGCCCCAGUGAGCGGACGAGGGGACUCCCAGGACGAAAGAUGCCCGCGCUCUCUCAGCUCACCACCAAGUUCUUCGUACUGAUCGUCCUCCUGGCUGUCUCCCUUCCUGGGACCGCCAGCAUCCGAAUCUUGAAGAUGCAAGUACCGAGGAGGGUACAAGCGGGGAAGACGGUGGAACUAGCCUGUCACUUCGACCUGGAGGGGGAGAUGCUGUAUUCUCUCAACUGGUGGAGGGGGUCGGAGCAGUUCUACCAGUUCAGCCCUUCCAGUCAGGAAAAGAUUAUCGUGUACGACUCCAAGGGCAUCACCGU